rnacentral:rRNA from 1 species
GCCAGCAGCCGCGGUAAUACGUACGGUUUUGCGUAAAUCGGAAUUACUGGGCGUAAAGCGUGCGCAGGCGGUUGUGCAAGACCGAUGUGAAAUCCCCGAGCUUAACUUGGGAAUUGCAUUGGUGACUGCACGGCUAGAGUGUGUCAGAGGGGGUUAGAAUUCCACGUGUAGCAGUGAAAUGCGUAGAGAUGUGGAGGAAUACCGAUGGCGAAGGCAGCCCCCUGGGAUAACACUGACGCUCAUGCACGAAAGCGUGGGGAGCAAACAGGAUUAGAUACCCUGGUAGUCCACGCCCUAAACGAUGUCAACUAGUUGUUGGGGAUUCAUUUCCUUAGUAACGUAGCUAACGCGUGAAGUUGACCGCCUGGGGAGUACGGUCGCAAGAUUAAAACUCAAAGGAAUUGACGGGGACCCUCACAAGCGGUGGAUGAUGUGGAUUAAUUCGAUGCAACGCGAAGAGCCUUACCUACCCUUGACAUGCCACUAACGAAGCAGAGAUGCAUUUAGGUGCUCGAAAGAGAAAGUGGACACAGGUGCUGCCAUGGCUGUCGUCAGCUCGUGUCGUGAAAAUGUUUGGGUUAAAUUCCCGCAAACGAGCGCAACCCCUUGUCUCCUAAU